AUACGUAGGGUGCAAGCGUUGUCCGGAAUUAUUGGGCGUAAAGAGCUCGUAGGCGGUUUGUCGCGUCUGCUGUGAAAGCCCGAGGCUCAACCUCGGGUCUGCAGUGGGUACGGGCAGACUGGAGUGCGGUAAGGGAGAUUGGAAUUCCUGGUGUAGCGGUGGAAUGCGCAGAUAUCAGGAGGAACACCGAUGGCGAAGGCAGAUCUCUGGGCCGUUACUGACGCUGAGGAGCGAAAGCAUGGGGAGCGAACAGGAUUAGAUACCCUGGUAGUCCAUGCCGUAAACGUUGGGCGCUAGAUGUGGGGACCAUUCCACGGUUUCCGUGUCGUAGCUAACGCAUUAAGCGCCCCGCCUGGGGAGUACGGCCGCAAGGCUAAAACUCAAAGGAAUUGACGGGG
rnacentral:rRNA from 1 species